rnacentral:tRNA from 1 species
GGGGUUAUAGUUAAUUAUAAUAUUUGGGUUGCAUUCAAAAGGUAUUGAUAUAUUCAUAUUCAAUUAACCUCA